rnacentral:lncRNA from 1 species
GUGGAAGCAGAAGAUCAGCAGUUCACGGCCAGCCUGGGCUACACACAUCCCCGUCUCAAAACAAGAAGGUCAUUUUCAUGUUCUCUUGCAGACCAAAGUGUCAAAUGAACUACAGCUGGAGUCCUGGGUGAAUGACUGCUCUGAUGUGGGUACUGGGAACCAGACUCAGGUCCUCUGCCAAGAGCAGUGAGUACUCAGACUUACUGGUGAGAUAGUGUGCCAGCCCCACGAACCCAACUCGUUAAACUACUCCUUUGGGUCACAUUUCUUCCUUUUUUGUUUCAUAUGUUUUGCCUGCACAUAUAUCUGCACCAUAUGUAUAAUCUAUUUUCAGAGGCCAAAAAGAGGACAUAGGAUCCCUUGAAAGUGGAGUACAGGUGUUUGUAAGCCACCAUGUAGUUGCUGGGAAUCGAACCCAGGUCCUCUGAAAGAGCAGCCAGUACUCCUAACCACUGAG